CCUACGGGUGGCAGCAGUCGAGAAUCAUUCACAAUGGGGGAAACCCUGAUGGUGCGACGCCGCGUGGGGGAAUGAAGGUCUUCGGAUUGUAAACCCCUGUCAUGUGGGAGCAAAUUAAAAAGAUAGUACCACAAGAGGAAGAGACGGCUAACUCUGUGCCAGCAGCCGCGGUAAUACAGAGGUCUCAAGCGUUGUUCGGAAUCACUGGGCGUAAAGCGUGCGUAGGCUGUUUCGUAAGUCGUGUGUGAAAGGCGCGGGCUCAACCCGCGGACGGCACAUGAUACUGCGAGAAUAGAGGAAUGGAGGGGGAACCGGAAUUCUCGGUGUAGCAGUGAAAUGCGUAGAUAUCGAGAGGAACACUCGUGGCGAAGGCGGGUUCCUGGACAUUAACUGACGCUGAGGCACGAAGGCCAGGGGAGCGAAAGGGAUUAGAUACCCCAGGAGUC
rnacentral:rRNA from 1 species